rnacentral:ncRNA from 1 species
CAAUGAAAGAUCUGAAUCGGUUCUAGCGGGGAACAGUCGCUAGAAGCAAGGGGAAAGUUUGGCGCAAAUCCAACACUGUCCCGCAACUGUGAUGAGAAUAUUAAUCUCUAAGUCAGAACACCCACCGAAAUCAGAUUGUUCUUU